AGUGAACGCUGGCGGCAGGCCUAACACAUGCAAGUCGAACGGUAGCACAGAGGAGCUUGCUCCUUGGGUGACGAGUGGCGGACGGGUGAGGAAUACAUCGGGAUCUACCUUUUCGUGGGGGAUAACGUAGGGAAACUUACGCUAAUACCGCAUACGCCCUACGGGGGAAAGCGGCGGACCGCAAGGCGUCGCGCGAUGAGAUGAACCGAUGUCCGAUUAGCUAGUUGGCGGGGUAAAGGCCCACCAAGGCGACGAUCGGUAGCUGAUCUGAGAGGAUGAUCAGCCACACUGGAACUGAGACACGGUCCAGACUCCUACGGGAGGCAGCAGUGGGGAAUAUUGGACAAUGGGCGCAAGCCUGAUCCAGCCAUGCCGCGUGGGUGAAGAAGGCCUUCGGGUUGUAAAGCCCUUUUGUCCGGAAAGAAAAGCACGGGAUUAAUACCCUCGUGUGAUGACGGUACCGGAAGAAUAAGCACCGGCUAACUUCGUGCCAGCAGCCGCCGUAAGAC
rnacentral:rRNA from 1 species